rnacentral:rRNA from 1 species
AGAGGAGUGCUUGAAAGAGAGCCAUAACACAGGUGCUGCAUGGCUGUCGUCAGCUCGUGUCGUGAGAUGUUGGGUUAAGUCCCGCAACGAGCGCAACCCUUGCCAUUAGUUGCUACGAAAGGGCACUCUAAUGGGACUGCCGGUGACAAACCGGAGGAAGGUGGGGAUGACGUCAAGUCCUCAUGGCCCUUAUAGGUGGGGCUACACACGUCAUACAAUGGCUGGUACAGAGGGUUGCCAACCCGCGAGGGGGAGCUAAUCCCAUAAAGCCAGUCGUAGUCCGGAUCGCAGUCUGCAACUCGACUGCGUGAAGUCGGAAUCGCUAGUAAUC